UGUAUUGAAGGUGCUAUAAUGAGUUCUCUCGUUAAUCUGAAUGAUGAUAUAUGAGGAUAAAUAAAUCCAUUCAAAAUAUCUGAGC